UGUGGACCUAAUUGAGCCAUAUA
rnacentral:siRNA from 1 species